UUGUUUAAAGAAUAAAUUUAUCAUAAUUUUAAAAUAAUUUACAGAAUGUUAUAAAUUAUUAUAAAAUUAAAUUUACUUUAUAUUGAAUAUUUGUUUAUUGUUAAAUUUUUUUUAGAAUUUCUUUUUGAUUUAUUUUUUCCAUCGACACUACUAAAAAGGCAGGCCCUCUAAAUACUUACCUUAUUUUGUAAUUUCGAUAUAUCAUUUAAUUCAUCGAUCCCACUAUAAUAGGAAAGUACCUUUGAAUACUAAUUGCAAGGGAAAACAUAAUUUAAUGACCAAUUAACAUCACUUUCCAAAUGACUUACAUAAUAUUAUUAAUAACUAUUUAUGGUAACUAAUUGUCGAAAGUAUGGUAUAUAAAUCCAUUUUAUUAAUUCAAAUAAAUAUUUUGGAUUCCAAAUGACUUACAUAAUAUUAUUAAUAACUAUUUAUGGUAACUAAUUGUCGAAAGUAUGGUAUAUAAAGUCAUUUUAUCAAUUCAAGUAAAUAUUUUGGUUUAUUAUUUUAUGUAGUCUAUAGAUAUAUUAGAAUAUAAAGUCAUUUUAUCAAAUCAAAUAAUUUAUUUUAAUUCAUUGAUCCCCUAUAAAAGAAAAUUAGCAUUGAAUACUGAUUGAAAAGGAAAAAAUAAUUUAAUCCCUCUAUUAACGUUACUUGCGCAACAAUAUUAGUUAAUACAUGUAAUAAUUAGUUUCCUUAUUACAAAUGGAAAUAAUUCUCUUGAUUUUGUUGAUUGAUUUUUUAGAAUUUCUGUUUCGAUUUAUUUUAAUCAUCGACACUACUAAAAAUGAAAUCACUUUAAUACUUAACUUUUGUGUUUUCUCGAUUCAAAGAACAUCUUUUUGCGAUCAUUUCUCUGUUUAAUUCAUUAAAUACUCACUAAAUAUUUUAGAUGUUAGAGAAACGAAAUUAAUUGACAAGAUAUUUUUUCUCCUAAAAUCAUGCAUUUAAAAUUUAAUAUUUAUGGUGAGACUUGUCAACCAAAAUUCUGGUGCAAUCUAUUCACGAGAUGUUCUCCUUUAGCUUUAUUAACAAGAUAUUCCAAAAAUAAUAUUACCUUAUAAGUAUAAGAUUUAUUGAGAAUUUAUUAAAGAAUAUUCUACUUCUUAGCUUAUCAUGCAAGCUAAAUCAAUGAGAAACGUCUACCAAUUUACUAUAAAUAAGACAUUCACAGUAGAAGAAACGAAAUAAUUGAACUUUGUAUUCUGAACUUUUAAUGUUAAUAAUGUUCUGAACUUUUUUUUCUUCUUAUUUUAGAACAUUAAGUUUUUAUAUUUCAUGAGAGCUGAUUUUUCUUUUGGUUUAUAUGCAGAUACCCUAUUAUGACGAUUUCUCCACUGAAGCUAUAUAUGAUUUGAUUGUACACCUCUUUGAUAUAUCAUUUCGAUAACAUCUUUGUUCCUCAAUCUGAGAUGAUUUGAGAGAAGUUGUCAUAUUUCAGACCUCUAAGAGUUCACCAUUCCGAUCCUGCAAAAGAUGUGCACUUAGAAUGGUAUUUUCUCUACUGUACAUCAAAAUUGGAUAAUCAAUUAUAUUUUUAAAAUAUCUAUAGUAGGAUGGUAUUUUCUCUACUGAAAUAAUAUCUUAUUUCCUAAUCUCAUGCUUUAAUAUUUAAAAUAGGUGUUAGACAUGGAUCGACCAGAUUGAAACAUGGUCGAAUGAUAACUGUCCAAACAAAGUAAAUAGUUUGAUGUUCGACGAUCACAUCUAGACUAUGGACAGAUGCAAACACGUUUUGUAAAGACCUAAUAGUGAUCCCUGAGGACAAUGUGAUUGACAUUGCUUAGCACACAUGCUUAACCGGGACACUACAUGUCAAAGGACAUGAGAAACGACCUAAGAGGUCUAAGUGGUCUUGAUUACGGUUCAGUAAUGAAACUGGCCGAUUACUCCCAUUCUAUACCUACAGGAUAGAUCACGCAUUAGAUGCGUAGUAUGUAGAACCUACACCGAGGUUCACAUCAGGGGGAGUAGUGCGUGUUGUACUCUUUUUCCUUCAUCAUGGUUUUGUCCCACUGGGUUUUCCUGAUAAGGUUUUAAUGAGGCAACAUUAAAGCGUACUACAAAUCCUGUAUGGUUAUGGCAUCCAAGGGGGAGUGUUAUAAAACAUGUGUGGAUUGCCAUUAACCAAGACAAGAAGAGAUGGCCCAUCAGGCCACGACCAGUCCAUCCGCGACAAUGUCCAAGAGGAGAGAGAGAGAGCCGACUUCAGGAGAGAGAGAGGCGGCCACAAGCUUGGAGAGAAAAGGAAACCCUUUCCUUUUCCUUAUAGAUGUUAUCUUUCCUUUUAUGUAUUUAGUAGAUUUCCUAUUUCAUAUAGGAUUAGGAUAAGUACUCUUUCCAUUUAUCUCUAUCUUGUAAUCCUUAUAUAAGGAACCCCCUUUGUUCAUUAAUAACACACACGAAAUAUUCA